UACAGAGGGGGCAAGCGUUGUUCGGAAUUACUGGGCGUAAAGGGCGCGUAGGCGGCCUUCUAAGUCGAACGUGAAAUCCCCGGGCUCAACCCGGGAACUGCGUCCGAUACUGGAAGGCUUGAAUCCGGGAGAGGGAUGCGGAAUUCCAGGUGUAGCGGUGAAAUGCGUAGAUAUCUGGAGGAACACCGGUGGCGAAGGCGGCUUCCUGGACCGACACUGACGCUGAGGCGCGAAAGCCAGGGGAGCAAACGGG
rnacentral:rRNA from 1 species